GAUGAACGCUAGCUACAGGCUUAACACAUGCGAGUCGAGGGGUAACGAGAGGGAAGCUUUCUUUCCUUGUCGACGACCGGCGCACGGGUGAGUAACGCGUAUACAACCUGCCCCCAACUAGGGAAUAACCUUGCGAAAGUAAGACUAAUACCCUAUAAUUUCCUCAGAUGUCAUCUGACGAGGAAUAAAGAUUUAUCGGUUGUGGAUGGGGAUGCGUCUGAUUAGCUUGUUGGCGGGGUAACGGCCCACCAAGGCAACGAUCAGUAGGGGUUCUGAGAGGAAGGUCCCCCACAUUGGAACUGAGACACGGUCCAAACUCCUACGGGAGGCAGCAGUGAGGAAUAUUGGUCAAUGGGCGGAAGCCUGAACCAGCCAAGUAGCGUGCAGGAUGACGGCCCUAUGGGUUGUAAACUGCUUUUAUACAGGAAUAAAGUUAGCCACGUGUGGUUAUUUGUAGGUACUGUAUGAAUAAGGACCGGCUAAUUCCGUGCCAGCCGCCGCAGUAA
rnacentral:rRNA from 1 species